rnacentral:misc_RNA from 1 species
UUUCCGUAGGUGAACCUGCGGAAGGAUCAUUAACACGUAUCCACGUUUAAUAACCCGCGAAUUUCUUAGGAGUUUCUUCAAGAAAAGGCGCUUUAUCUUCGGAUAAAACACCCUGUUCUUGAAGAAACUCCUAAGAAAUUCGCGGGUUAUUAAACGUGGAUACGUGUUAAUGAUCCCGUUGCCUCGGCGGGCCCGCCGUUAGGUCGGCCGCCGGGGGGGAGUAAACAUCCCCUCUGGCCAGCGCCCGCCGGAGGACCGAAUCAAAAACAUCUGUCAGUCAAUGCAGUCUGAGCGAGAAUCGCAAAUCAGUUAAAACUUUCAACAAUGGAUCUCUUGGUUCCG